UACGUAGGGUGCAAGCGUUGUUCGGAAUCAUUGGGCGUAAAGCGCGUGUAGGUGGUUUGUUAAGUCGGAUGUGAAAUCCCUGGGCUCAACCCAGGAAGUGCAUUCGAAACUAACUGGCUAGAAGAUGGUAGAGGAAGGUGGAAUUCCAAAAGUAGAGGUGAAAUUCGUAGAUAUUUGGAGGAAUACCGGCGGCGAAGGCGGCCUUCUGGACCAUUCUUGACACUGAGACGCGAAAGCGUGGGUAG
rnacentral:rRNA from 1 species